rnacentral:rRNA from 1 species
GAUGAACGCUGGCGGCGUGCCUAAUACAUGCAAGUCGAGCGAACAGACGAGGAGCUUGCUCCUCUGACGUUAGCGGCGGACGGGUGAGUAACACGUGGAUAACCUACCUAUAAGACUGGGAUAACUUCGGGAAACCGGAGCUAAUACCGGAUAACAUGUUGAACCGCAUGGUUCAAUAGUGAAAGACGGUCUUGCUGUCACUUAUAGAUGGAUCCGCGCCGCAUUAGCUAGUUGGUAAGGUAACGGCUUACCAAGGCGACGAUGCGUAGCCGACCUGAGAGGGUGAUCGGCCACACUGGAACUGAGACACGGUCCAGACUCCUACGGGAGGCAGCAGUAGGGAAUCUUCCGCAAUGGGCGAAAGCCUGACGGAGCAACGCCGCGUGAGUGAUGAAGGUCUUCGGAUCGUAAAACUCUGUUAUUAGGGAAGAACAAAUGUGUAAGUAACUAUGCACGUCUUGACGGUACCUAAUCAGAAAGCCACGGCUAACUACGUG